CAAGAGAUGGUCGCUUUGUUUAGUCACUGCUUGCAGAAUGCCUUGCUGUUGCGCUUGGGGAUGCAGCAAUACAACUGAAAAGGGUACAAACUGUGUCGCUUUCCAAAAGACCCUGCAAGAAGGAAGAUUUCGGAGGCGAAAGUCGACGUCGUUGGGUGUCAUGUCCGACGAGCUUAGAUAAUUAUUUCUCUAUGUGGCUCAUUUUGACGAGUCUCAAUUCGAGAAUUGCAUGCAGAGCCGACAGGAAGAGAGAGCUGAAAGGAAAUGCCACUUCGACGUACAUUCCCUCAUCGCAAAGCUGAGUUUCGGAGAAAGUCUCCUUCAGUUAAGACGAAGGGUAGAUCUGGAAGCAAGAGCUCCCCUCGUCUCGUGGGAUCAUUCCUGUUGUUCUUCCAUGGAGGCCGGGAGCACAAGUUUCUUCAAAUGACAGAGAGAGGGUUGCAGUUGAUGAUAUGAUACAGGAAAGUAAUUGUGAUGAUGAGGUUUCCUCACUUGACACCCUACUCUGUCUCAGCUAGAAUGCAAAUAAUUAAAGGAACUGAGGAGGGAGCUAGUUCAAGCUAAACACUAGAAGAGAACAAUUUUGCAUCAGAAACUGAAAAUAAAAGAUUUAGCAAUUUUUGGAAAGACCAGCUCACCGGCAGCUCUUUCAAGAGGUCUAUAGCAUGAGAGGCACGCUUUGGAAAUCAUCAACCACCAAGAACUUGCUUGUGGAUCUGUUGAAUACAACCUACUUUUGAAACAGCACCAUCCAUUGCCAUCUGCGUACUCUUCAACAAAGAAUGUCAACCAUCUCUUCUAACCCUACCAUAGACCAUCUUCACUCAAAACUGCAGCAUCUUUCUGAACAGGAGAAACGUUGCUGUCUGACAAUGGAUGAAAUGUCCAUUACCCCAGGGGUUGAGUUUGAUACAAGUAGUGGUCAGAGGCAAUUUCACACUGCUUGGUCAACUUAAGCAUGGGCGUGCCACGGACUUUUAGGUGGGAUGGGUUAGCAUCACGGUAGAAGCAAAGCAGACAGUUGCUUACUACUUUACUGACAAUUUUACUUUUGCCACUGUCCUCAAGCCCAUUGUAUUGGAAAUUAUAUGGUGCAUGGACCAUAAUUGCAUGGUAAUUAACAUGAGAGGUAAUUAGAAAUUAAAAAUUUAGUGUAACUUUUAUUUAUAUAUUAUAAGCCAAAAAUAAAGGGACAAC